rnacentral:rRNA from 1 species
UCUUUGGAGAGUUUGAUCCUGGCUCAGGACGAACGCUGGCGGCGUGCCUAAUACAUGCAAGUCGAGCGGACCGGAUUGAGGCUUGCCUUGAUUCGGUCAGCGGCGGACGGGUGAGUAACACGUGGGCAACCUGCCCGCAAGACCGGGAUAACUCCGGGAAACCGGAGCUAAUACCGGAUAACACCGAAGACCGCAUGGUCUUUGGUUGAAAGGCGGCCUUUGGGCUGUCACUUGCGGAUGGGCCCGCGGCGCAUUAGCUAGUUGGUGAGGUAACGGCUCACCAAGGCGACGAUGCGUAGCCGGCCUGAGAGGGUGACCGGCCACACUGGG